GGAAGGAGGGAAGGAAGGAAAGAAAGAAGAUAAAGUAAAAUAAAAUAAAGUUAUUAAAAUAAAAAAUAAUUAUUAAGAAAAAAAUUCAAAACAAAAUGGUCGGACAGAACCCUAGGACAAAUGGUGGAAGCAAAGCUAUACCGACAGAAUCUCACACAGAAGCAUACACAUAACACACUCACAAAAAGAGGAAAAGGGGAAAAAAAUCAUAAAUCUUGCUCCCGAAGUCCACCUCCUCAAUUUGGGAUGAUUCGUUGUGUAUUCAUGUAUUCCACAGAUGCAGGGUACAUCAAGUUGAUUGUGGAGCUUUAAUCCGCUGCUUCUGAGGCUGCUGGGAGAGAUUUCCCUUUCUCUUCUUUGUUCUCACAGCCCACAGGGGCUCAGCUUUGGACUUGGCCCUGCCUCUGCGUGUAUGUCACAGGAGGGCGUCUGUUCUUCGCUCAGACAGGACGGGGUUAAAGGAGCCGCUGAUUCGGGAGCUCUGGCUCACUCAGGCCGGGGGUGGGAGGGGCACAGAGUGCGGGGCGGGCCUGCGGCGGUAGAGCCCGGCGUGACGUUGCACCAGCCUGAGGCGCGCCGUGCGUUCUCCCGGGGAAGUUGUCCCUGGAUCCCGGGACCCUGGCAGUGGCGGGCUGCACAGGCUCCCCGGAAGCGGGGUGUGGAUAGUGACCUGUGCUCGCACAUGGGCUUCUUGGUGGCGGCAGCAGCAGCCUUAGCGUCUCAUGCCCGUCUCUGGGGUUCGUGCUUUUAGCCGCGGCUGGCACCCGUCUCUGGAGCUCCUUUAAGCAGCGCUCGACCCUCCCCUCGCGCACCAGGAAGCAAAGAGCGCGGCAUGCAGGAUCUUAGUUCCCCAGCCAAGAAUGAACCUGUACCCCCUGCAGUGGAAGCAUGGAGUUCUAAUCACUGGACCGCCAGGGAAUUCUCUGGAUUCUCUCUCUCUUUCUCUGUUUUUUUUUUUUUUUUUUUUUGGUGGGAGGAGUGCAUGUGAUUUUUGGUUGUAGUAUAAGGCAAUAUGCCUUUUUUUAAGCACUCAUUUUUUUAUGAUUGAUAAUUUCAUGUAUGUAGAAUAAAACUUUGGCAAUUCAGAGCCCUUCUGAAAAUAGAAGGCAUUUCUCUUUGACUUUAAUAAAAAUUACCUUGAAAGAU